GUUCAGCUGACGAGUUCUAAAUAGAACGAAAUGCGUAUCCUGGAU
rfam:Schistosoma mattheei strain Denwood, Zambia genome assembly, scaffold: SMTD_contig0004464